AUUGAACGCUGGCGGCAGGCCUAACACAUGCAAGUCGAGCGAGCGGGGGACGGGUGAGUAAUGUCUGGGAACCUGCCUGAUGGAGGGGGAUAACUACUGGAAACGGUAGCUAAUACCGCAUACCAUCAUAUUUGCCCAGUGGGGAUUAGCUAGUAGGCGGGGUAACGGCUCCCCUAGGCGACGAUCCCUAACUGGUAUGAGAGGAUGACCAGCGAGACUGGAACAGAGACACGGUCCAGACUGCUACGGGAGGCAGCAGUGGGGAAUAUUGCACAAUGGGCGCAACCCUGAUGCAGCCAGGCCGCGUGUAUGAAGAAGGCCUUCGGGUUGUAAAGUACUUUCAGCGGGGAGGCGUUACCCGCAAAAGAAGCACCGGCUAACGCCGGGCCAGCAGCCGCGGUAAUUC
rnacentral:rRNA from 1 species